UUCCUUUUGAAAAAGCCAAACAUUUCCAAUUUUAAAACAUGCUUAGAUUUCUGAAAUGCAACAGAAAUUACAUCUACGUGUACCUUAUAUACUUCUCAGAAUUCACAUUGGUAAUGACUGUGUAAAAUUUAGAAUGCUGAUUAGGUCCCAUGAGUUAAAAAACCAAACUAUGUCGUGUGUGUGUGUGUGUGUGUGUGUGUGUGUGUGUCUCCAUGCAUGUUCUGAUUGCUAUGUAGGCAUGAAACAUUUUACACUAUUUUAAGGCAAGAAAAAGUUCUCCUUGAAUAUUUUGAGAUAAAUAACGUCAUGGUAGGUUUAUUAUCUGUGUUGCAUCAGAGUUCACUUGAGCUAAUUUAGUGAGACUCAUAACUGAUUUACAGAAGCAGGAAAAGGAGAAAUUGAAAGUAGUGACCCAACCUAAGAGGCCACAAAGGACGAAGAACCAGAGUGUGAGUGUCCACAGGAAGAGGAACUUGAGGUACUUUCCAAAGAAUGUGAAAGCAAGAUCCCUAGAAUUGUAGUUCUAAAUCUUUACUGUGAUUAUGUCCGAGGUGGAGAUGUACGUAUAAACAUGGGAAACGCACAUAAACACACUCUCCCCACCACAUGUACACACACUACAAUCGGAUCUGAUCACACAGACUGUAGAUCCAUAGCAUUGUAGCCUUCCAAUUAUUUUUCAUAUUCUAUUCAGGUAGGGCAUUAUGCUGGUUUUGAUCAAAAUAAGGAAUAUAUACACACACUGUAUAUAAAUACACACACACAGUUAACUGCAUAAAAACUGCAUUUACCUACCAUUCCAAAAUCUAUACUAUACGUAAGAAAUAUCUGUGAAAAAUAUCUGGCAUAUUUUUUAAAAAGUCCACUACCGUUUGACUACUUUUUUUGAACAAAGGUUUCACUUUCACGUAGAUAUUUUCCACUCAGCACAAGUUUGAGAAGUCGAUCUAAAACAGGACGGGCGCACACGUAUUCCUGUCGUUCCAUGAUUUCAGAGUGAGUGACAGAAGUACGUACCACAGCGUUCAGAUACAGUGGCAAAGAGACACAGCCCCUGCCGUUCAGGAGAGGAAGACAUGGGACAAAUGGAGCUGACAGACAUUUGCUGAUCGCGUUAAGUGCACACAAAGAAAGGCCCAGGCAGGACCGGUGGAAUAACAAGGCCGAGCAACUCUAGCCUGGGUGCUGGGACAUGUAAGGGAAGGACGGACAUCUGCGUGGCUACUGGGAAGGAGUCUCAUCCUGCAGUACAAUUACACGUUCGGCGCAACCCUGGCCAACACUGUUUUUUAGGGUUUACUUUUCCCUGUUCUGUAGCCUUUCCCAGCCAUCUUUGCUAUUGCUGUGGGGUUGAGGUUCGCUCCUCCUGAAUAAAUCACGGCCUAUAAAUA